GUGUAAUGUAGGUCUCUUGGAGCCACUAGCAGCAUUAUUAAGUAUUGAACAGCAGUGCCGUGUGGACGUACAGUGGCCCGACUCUGAAAACCUUGACAAGAGGCCGGGAGUGACGCCCGAGGAACUAUGUUAUUACUAAGAGUGUGUUGGAUGACCUUCCUGCUCGCCCUGGUGGCGAGCAGCGAAGACGCCGCCGAGGUGGGGA